UUGGAGAUUGAUAGCAAUGUGAGGAGGGAGGACGUGGAGAAGCUUGUGAGGGAGUUGAUGGAAGGAGAAAAGGGUGAAGACAUGAAGAGAAAUGCGGAAGAGUGGAAGAGGAAGGCUGAAGAGGCUUGUAAGAAUGGUGGGUCAUCCCUAACAAAUUUAGAUCGAGUCAUUUCUGAAAUUCUUUCCAGCAAAGAGAAAUCAAAGCUUGAAUGUCAAAAUUAACGAUAUAAUUUCAUGUAAGCAUGGCUAGUAACAACGCUCAUGCCGUCUGGUCAAAUAGUUAAGCAUAUUAAUUUUCAUAAAUCUAAACGAAGAAACUUUUGUCUUCUUUGGCUUUUCCUAUUACUGAUGUGUUUGAUUUAUAUUGGUAUUGUUAUGGUUUCUUUAAUAUAAAUAAGUGGUGUUCAUUGGGAUGUGUGCCAAUGUGUUGUUGAAUAAUAUUGUAGAUCUCAAAGAAGGUUGAUGUCCAAUCUUAAUCUGUUAAAGUCAAUGAACUAUUUGAAAAAAGAUACAAUUAAGUAAAUUCUAACAAAGUGUCAUACAAAUUUGUAUAUAGACAUAUAAAUAAAUAUUUUGUCAUUGUUGCUGCAUUUAAAUUAUCACUUUGCUCAAAUUUGAUUCUAUAUAUCUUUUUUUCAUUUCGUUAAUCACAUAUGCAUGUCUCACUUUUAUAAAUGUAAAUUUUUUUUUAGUAAAUUUUCUGAUUUCGAGGAUAGUAAGUUGUGCAAGGUUUAUUACCAAAUUAGUAAAUAUUUGGUUUAAAAAAGAAUACAAAUUUUGCAUUUAAAAAAUUAAAUUUAAAAUCAGAUCAACAACCUCCUCUGAAAUUAGUUUUCAAAAAUAGAUCAACUCAAUCCAUAAACUUUUCAACAUGAAAAAAAUAAAACAUAACCAAGAUUAGAAUAAGAUCACAUACACGUGGUGUGAUCGAUCCUAUUCAUCGGCGUUAUUUAAAAAUAAAAAGAAAAAAGUAGUAAUCAAAUCAAAUUUCUAAACUAAUGAAAUACUCACAACACAAAAGAUCAGUGACAUGUGGUAUACUCACAACACAAAAGAUCAGUGACAUGUGGUAUCCAUCACUUCUGCUUUCUCUAACCUAUGAAAAGUUUAUGAAAGUAAAGACAACACAAUUUAUAUACAACUCCAAUU
rnacentral:lncRNA from 1 species